UACGGAGGGUGCAAGCGUUAUCCGGAUUUACUGGGUUUAAAGGGUGCGUAGGUGGGUUUGUAAGUCAGUGGUGAAAUCUCCGAGCUUAACUCGGAAACUGCCAUUGAUACUAUAGAUCUUGAAUUAUCUGGAGGUGGGCGGAAUGUGUCGUGUAGCGGUGAAAUGCUUAGAUAUGACACAGAACACCGAUUGCGUAGGCAGCUCACUAAACUCUCACUGACGCUGAGGCACGAAAGCAUGGGGAUCAAACAGG
rnacentral:rRNA from 1 species